UCGAAUUAGCCUAUAAGCCCGAAGCCCGAGUCGAUUUUUUGGCCGGUCGGUCGAUCAUAAAUGCAUAUAAAAUAGCCCGACCGGUCGAUUAAAUUUUUGAGCGUAAAAUUGUAAACAUAGUGAAAUAAUUACAUGAACACCGGUCAGUCACUUCGGGUUAAAGGCGUAUCGGUCAAUGGAAGUAGUCGGUACAAAUCGUUAGCCAAUAAACACGUCCGUGUUCCACUCUUACGGGACUCCGGAGAUGGACGUAGUGUUACGAUUGGUCCGUUUGUUCAAAGCGGACAUCGACGUAUGAUGACUCAUUUAAAAAAAAUCCUUGCGUUAAAAUCGCGCUCAAGAUGGCGUUCAGCCAACUUCGAUACCAGAGCGGGGCGUUACCAGGUAAAAAACGUAAGCAGCCGACCGACCCUGUAUCUUCUAAAAGAGCUUACGAAGUCAAGAGAGUUCGAACAUUUCAACAAUCAUGGCAAUCAGGUGCCAGAGAACUCAGAAUAUGAAGAUGAUGAUGAUGAUGAUGACGAUGAAGAUAUGGAGAUGUCGGCGGAGCAUGCCUUUUCUGUUGUUUUGAAAAAUGAAUAAUAAAUGUUGUAAAUGGGA